rnacentral:rRNA from 1 species
CAGUCGCCACGGGAACACGAAGAGGGCUAGCGUUGUUCGGAUUUACUGGGCGUAAAGCGCACGUAGGCGGAUCGAUCAGUCAGGGGUGAAAUCCCAGAGCUCAACUCUGGAACUGCCUUUGAUACUGUCGAUCUGGAGUAUGGAAUAGGUGAGUGGAAUUCCGAGUGUAGAGGUGAAAUUCGUAGAUAUUCGGAGGAACACCAGUGGCGAAGGCGGCUCACUGGUCCAUUACUGACGCUGAGGUGCGAAAGCGUGGGGAGCAAACAGGAUUAGAGACCCCCGUAGUCCCUGUCUCUUAUAC